CACCUGUUUAUCAAAAACAUGGUUUUAUGAUUAUAUUUUAAGAUUUAUUCUGCUCAAUGAUAAUAUAUUAAUUAUUAAAUAGCCGCAGUAUUUUGACUGUGCAAAGGUAGCAUAAUCAAUUGUCUUUUAAUUAAAGACUGGAAUGAAGGAAUGAAUGAAAUUUAAACUGUCUAUGAUAAAAAAUUAAAAUUUAAAUUUUAAGUUAAAAUGCUUAAAUGGAAUUAUGGGACGAGAAGACCCUAUAGAAUUUUAUAUAAAUUUUUAAAUUAUUAAAUGAGUAAAAAGAUUAAAUUUAAAAUUAUAUUUUAUUGGGAGGAUAAUUAAAUUAAUUUAACUUUAUUAAUUAAUAUUAAAUAUAUAUAUAUAUAUAUAUAUAUAUAUAUAUAUAUAUAUAUAUAUAUAUAUAUAUAUAAACAUUAAUUUAUGAAAUAAAUGAAUAAAUUUUUUAUUGAAUUUAUAUAAGAAUUAAUUACCUUAGGGAUAACAGCGUUAUAUUUUUUAAAAGAUCAUAUUAAGAAAAAUGUUUGCGACCUCGAUGUUGAAUUAAAGUAAAAAUUAAAUGAAGAAGUUUAAUAUUUUAGUCUGUUCGACUAUUAAAAUUUUACAUGAUUUGAGUUCAAAUCGACG
rnacentral:rRNA from 1 species